rfam:Triticum aestivum genome assembly, contig: Triticum_aestivum_CS42_TGACv1_scaffold_225466_3B
UUAAUACUCCCUCCAGUUGGAAAUACUUGUCAUCAAAAUGAAUAAAAGGGGAUGUAUCUAGAUGUAUUUUAGUUCUAGAUACAUCCCUUUUUGUCCAUUUUGAUAACAAGUAUUUUUGGACGGAGGGAGUAUUAA